AUUGAACGCUGGCGGCAUGCUUUACACAUGCAAGUCGAACGGUAACAGGCCUUCGGGUGCUGACGAGUGGCGCACGGGUGAGUAAUGCAUCGGAACGUACCCAGAGGUGGGGGAUAACGCAGCGAAAGCUGUGCUAAUACCGCAUGUGAUCUGAGGAUGAAAGCGGGGGACCGAGCAGCAAUGUUUGGCCUCGCGCCUUUGGAGCGGCCGAUGUCGGAGUAGCUAGUUGGUGGGGUAAAGGCCUACCAAGGCGACGAUCCGUAGCUGGUCUGAGAGGACGACCGGCCACACUGGGACUGGGACACGGCCCAGACUCCUACGGGAGGCAGCAGUGGGGAAUUUUGGACAAUGGGCGCAAGCCUGAUCCAGCAAUGCCGCGUGCGGGAAGGAGGCCUUCGGGUUGUAAACCGCUUUUGGCAGGAACGAAACGGUGUCCGCUAAUACCGGGCGCUAAUGACGGUACCUGCAGAAUAAGCACCGGCUAACUACGUG
rnacentral:rRNA from 1 species